rnacentral:rRNA from 1 species
AUACGGAGGGUGCAAGCGUUAAUCGGAAUUACUGGGCGUAAAGCGUACGUAGGCGGUUAUUUAAGUCAGAUGUGAAAGCCCCGGGCUUAACUUGGGAACUGCAUUUGAAACUGGGUAACUAGAGUUUAGUAGAGGGGAGUGGAAUUUCAGGUGUAGCGGUGAAAUGCGUAGAGAUCUGAAGGAACACCAGUGGCGAAGGCGACUCCCUGGACUAAAACUGACGCUGAGGUACGAGAGCGUGGGUAGCAAACAGGAUUAGAAACCCUAGUAGUCC